CUUCCCCCUCGCGCCGCCACUUUCCAAAUCCCACAUCGGGAUCCUCCCUGAUCCCCUCGUCCACCUUGUUUUCCCCGUCGCUCAAAUCAGGGCCUCCCCUGCCUUCCCAAUCCAUCGAUCCAUCCAACCAUCAGCCAGCCACAGCGCCUCCCUGCUCGAUCGUGUGCUCGAGGCGCCCGAGCACCUCGUGCUUCUCCUUGUCGCCGGAGACGAGCACCAGGACCAGGCCGUCCCCGCACCGCACCCUGCCUCUCCUUCUCUUUUCCUUAUUCCCCUACUUCUUCUCUCUUCCUCACCCCGUGGUCUUUCUCUCUUUCUUCAGGGAGAACAGGAGCUUGCCCGCCAUGGCCGUCUCAUCCCGGAGCAAGCUCGUCGGCCUCCUCAACCACCCCGCGCCACCACCGACAGCUCGUCACCGGAGACCCAUCAGCAGACCUCCAGGAGCCCGCGGCCUCCUCUGCUUCUCCUCCUGGUGCCUCGCGGGAGCAGCUCCACCCUCGGCUGAAGCCCCACGCCGGCGUGCCGCUCCGCCAAGUUCCUCGCCGCGUCUUCCCAUGGAGCGCUAGGAAUAACCACAGCACCCCGUCACCGCCCAAGUACACCGAAGCUCCAUCCCCGCGCUCAGAUCCGCCGGAUCUUGUCGCCUCGCCUGAUCCCCGCCUCCUCGUGCCUCCCUGCAUCGACGACGGCACCGGUUACGGCUCUGAACCUGAGCCCCGCUCCUGUUUGCUCUGUUUUAGUCGAGUAGAGAGCUCGCCUGCUCGUCCGCGUUGACCUCCACAUCGCGCGUGGGCUGCCUUCCCUCGAUCGCCAGAAGCCCAGCCUGCCUUCCCUUCGCUAGUCCAGCCCCACAGGCCUGGCUCCGGCCAGCCUCUCCACCGAACGGCCCACGAGGCCCAAGGUUAGCAGCCCCUCUCCACUCCCUCUCCUGUACACUACCGGGCCAAACAGUUUCGGCCCGUGUCUGUUUUUCUUCUAUCAGUGAAUUUUCCUAUUUAUCCAGAAAACUGCCAGUUUAUAGUUUAGUCCCUAGACAACAUGCAUAUAAUUACUCAUGAACCGUGCAUCGGAAUUAAAUAAACUUUAUAUGUAAAAUGGCUAGAAUUUUGUCUAGUUUAAUAAUAUGCAACUUUCACCCAUGUUUAAGAUGUUUAAAAUGAUGUUUGUUUAAAUUUGUCCCUAUGCCAUGUUAAAAUGAUUUAAUUCAUAACUAAAUAACCGUAGCUCCAAAUUUAAUAAACUUUAUAUGUAAAUGGGGUAUAAAAAUGCCUAGUUUAACAUGGUGUCCUUACUUUGCAUGUUUAAUAACUCUAAAAUUAUGUUUAGGGAAGAACAUGACCUAACCUAAUAUAUGCACAUGGGGAGUUUCCGGAUUUGUUGUUUGUUGUUCCGGCCUCAUUUAAACUUGCCUAGUUAGGUAGUUUAAUUAUGCUUCACCCUCUUGCCAUGUUUAACAACAUUUAAUAUUGUUGGGUACAUAAACGAGAUCGAACUAAAUAACUUGUUGUGGUGUUUCGUCAAUAUGCAACUCGUUGCAUAUUGAUCUCCACUUAAUUCGUAGUUUUGUUUGUGCACGUUGCCAUGCCAUGCUUCAUUAAACCGGACAUGCAUCAUACUUGGUUGUGCAUCAUACCAUGUUCUUGUGUUGGUUGUUUACCAUGUUAUGUGGUUCUUUCCGGUGUUUGCUUCUUCGGGUUGGAUCCAAUAACGUCGUGAUUGUGAGGACCCGUUCGUCUACGUUCGUUUGUCUUAUUCAUGGACUCGUUCUUCUUCCUUGCGGUAUUUUAGG
rnacentral:rRNA from 1 species